GACGAACCGAGCGAACGUUAUUCGGAAUCACUGGGCUUAAAGGGCGCGUAGGCGGGCCAUCAAGUCAGGGGUGAAAGCCCCCAGCUCAACUGGGGAAGUGCCUCUGAUACUGGUGGCCUCGAGGGAGGUAGGGGCGUGCGGAACUUCCGGUGGAGCGGUGAAAUGCGUAGAUAUCGGAAGGAGCACCGGUGGCGAAAGCGGCGCGCUGGACCUCUUCUGACGCUGAGGCGCGAAAGCCAGGGGAGCGAACGGG
rnacentral:rRNA from 1 species